GCCAAGGAGUGAAUAACUUGAAGCCUACAACAGCUAACUCGUUAGUCUAAAGCUACAGAGAAUCUUCCAGAGUCCAAAAGGCCAAACUUCCUGACUUAGUGCACUUUCUGUGACUUACAACAGGAAGCCAGCACAGCAUCUAACACAUAGAGGGUGUGCCACAAAUAGUUACUGAAAAAAGAAAACAAGGAAUGAAGAAUUGAAUGAACAAAUACCAAAUGUGCUGCAUGAAUUUUGGAAGGGACUGAUUUUCUAAGGCAGAAGAAGACUAAUAGUCCAUGUUGCAAAGAUCAACAGACCACAAUUGUGAUGACUCGAGCAAGCCAUAAGAUAACCCUUCUCAGAGCAGAGCGUGG
rnacentral:lncRNA from 10 species